rnacentral:misc_RNA from 1 species
GAUGAAGAACGUAGCGAAAUGCGAUAAGUAAUGCGAAUUGCAGAUUUCAGUGAGUCAUCGAAUCUUUGAACGCACAUUGCGCCCGCCAGUAUUCUGGCGGGCAUGUCUGUUCGAGCGUCAUUUCAACCAUCAAGCCCCCGGGCUUGCGUUGGGGCCCUGCGGCUGCCGCAGGCCCCGAAAAGCAGUGGCGGGCUCGCUGUCACACCGAGCGCAGUAGCGAUUCUCGCUCCGGGCGUCGGCGGCGGGCACCGGCCGUGAAACCCCCCCACAUCCACAAGGUUGACCUCGGAUCAGGUAGGAAUACCCGCUGAACUUAAGCAUAUCAAUAAGCGGAGGA